rnacentral:misc_RNA from 1 species
AACCAAAGUAGAAGAGAAAUUUGAAGUCUGUAAAGCAAUGAAGGGAGCAGUGAGGAGAGUUUUUCAAAGCUUUGAGAUAAUGGGAGUUUGAAUUGGUUUUGUCACCCCAUUUUCUUUAGCGUCGGUAUCUUUUGAAUCUAAUUCACAAGCACUGGGUGGAACAUCAACAGCAGGAGAACAGUUGAAGAACCCGUGAGGCAAGAGUGUAAAGCCGAUGCGAUCCACAGGCAUAACGGGCCAAUCUUCCAACCGAGGAACAUGCGUGAUCCCGAAAACAUACCAAAGGACUAUGUCAGUUUCUUCUAAGGGUCGAUCCUGUUUAACCCAUGUAGAUAAUCCUUCACCGACGCGUGGAUUCUGAUUGGGAAACUCCCCUCCAGGAAACAUCUCAUCGCGUGAAUAUUGAGUCACCCAAAGAUUAUGCUUCAAGAAAGAAGCUCUUCGAAGAAACUUGGCCUCUGAACCAGCUAAUGGCAAACAAUUUGAACCAGGCAAUAGCUUGUAG